rnacentral:tRNA from 1 species
GCGCCCUUAGCUCAGCCGGAUAGAGCGGCGACCUUCUAAGUCGCGGGUCGGGGGUUCGAAUCCCUCAGGGCGCGCCA